GCACAAGCGGUGGAUGAUGUGGUUUAAUUCGAUGCAACGCGAAAACCUUACCACCUUUGACAUGUACGGAAUCCUUUAGAGAUAGAGGAGUGCUCGAAAGAGAGCCGUAACACAGGUGCUGCAUGGCUGUCGUCAGCUCGUGUCGUGAGAUGUUGGGUUAAGUCCCGCAACGAGCGCAACCCUUGUCAUUAGUUGCUACAUUCAGUUGGGCACUCUAAUGAGACUGCCGGUGACAAACCGGAGGAAGGUGGGGAUGACGUCAAGUCCUCAUGGCCCUUAUAGGUGGGGCUACACACGUCAUACAAUGGAUGGUACAAAGGGUCGCCAACCCGCGAGGGGGAGCCAAUCCCAUAAAGCCAUUCGUAGUCCGGAUCGCAGUCUGCAACUCGACUGCGUGAAGUCGGAAUCGCUAGUAAUCGUGGAUCAGAAUGUCACGGUGAAUACGUUCCCGGGUCUU
rnacentral:rRNA from 1 species